GACGAACGCUGGCGGCGUGCUUAACACAUGCAAGUCGAACGGAAAGGCCCUGCUUUUGUGGGGUGCUCGAGUGGCGAACGGGUGAGUAACACGUGAGUAACCUGCCCUUGACUUUGGGAUAACUUCAGGAAACUGGGGCUAAUACCGGAUAGGAGCUCCUGCUGCAUGGUGGGGGUUGGAAAGUUUCGGCGGUUGGGGGUGGACUCGCGGCUUAUCAGCUUGUUGGUGGGGUAGUGGCUUACCAAGGCUUUGGCGGGUAGCCGGCCUGGGAGGGUGACCGGCCACAUUGGGACUGAGAUACGGCCCAGACUCCUACGGGAGGCAGCAGUGGGGAAUAUUGCACAAUGGGCGGAAGCCUGAUGCAGCAACGCCGCGUGCGGGAUGACGGCCUUCGGGUUGUAAACCGCUUUCGCCUGUGACGAAGCGUGAGUGACGGUAAUGGGUAAAGAAGCACCGGCUAACUACGUG
rnacentral:rRNA from 1 species